CGCCGUUGUUCAGGGCGCACGUGUUCACCGCUGCGGGGAAAAGGACAAGAAAUUCAUUGGGAAAUGCCGUGUCGCCUGGCGAGGCUCUUUUCAAAAGCCCAGGACUGCUCUGCAGGAUGAGCACCAAAGGCGUGAUGUUUGGCUGGAGAUGUCUGCACCUUGCAACCAGUACGUGGGCAGAGUUUACCUGCAGUGAUCCAGGAGCACCGACCUGGAGAAACCUGAGCUAGAGAACAGCGCAGGGAAGGACUUCCUGGACCGGCAUUCACAAACUCAUGACACGUUUUCCAAAUUGAUGACAGUCAUCUCGUGCUGCAUGGGCGGGACACAGCCAAAGCCCUGCACAGCCUGGGAUGGAGCUGCAGACCUGGUUCCCUUAACCAGAGGGGCACAAGUGGUGGCCCCCCGCGGUUCUGACCUGUUCUUCACACUGCAGAAGGAACCAACGUGCUGACUCUGAGAAACGCUGUGAGGAAACUAAAAAUCCCUCUAAUGAAGGCCACGUCUCUGCAGACCAACGCUUCAGGUAGUGGCGGUUCUUGCACGGCUCAGAGCGGGCAGCGUGCGUCUGCCAGCAACUCUCAUUGCAAGGACUGGCUCCUGCAGCAGAGCUCAUGAACAGAUGGGACGAGGGCCAAAGGAACAUGUUCAUGGGGGAAAAAAAGCAGCCAAGAGAUUAAAUGAGAUGUCAGUCUCCUGCUUUUAUUACUUGUUGGUCAAAUACUUGCAGCCUUUUCUCUCUGCUAUCAAAAACCCUCUCUGGACUUGAAUUUAAAUAGCAGGAAAACAGAUUUUUCAGCUUGCUUAGUGCCUUGCAUUUACCCUCCUGUUUCACCUGAGCCUUUCAGCCAACUACAAAAUUUAAAGCGUAUAUUCUCUAGAUAAAAUACCAAAAGUAAUUUCAUUAAUCCUCUCCUGUAUAUUACUGAAAACCAAAUAUUUGGCAGGGUGUACAAGAGGGGGAAAAUAAAAGGCAAAACUGUAUAGUCAUUUUUUUUUCUGCAAAUGCUUCCCCUGCAAAAAAUAUGCCUUGACUCAGAGCUGAGAGCUCUCUAA